rnacentral:rRNA from 1 species
UACGUAGGGUGCGAGCGUUGUCCGGAAUUAUUGGGCGUAAAGAGCUCGUAGGCGGUUUGUCGCGUCGAGUGUGAAAACUGGGGGCUUAACUCUCAGCUUGCAGUUGAUACGGGCAGACUUGAGUUCGGUAGGGGAGAAUGGAAUUCCUGGUAUAGCGGUGAAAUGCGCAGAUAUCAGGAGGAACACCGGUGGCGAAGGCGGGUCUCUGGGCCGAUACUGACGCUGAGGAGCGAAAGCGUGGGGAGCGAACAGG